rnacentral:rRNA from 1 species
UACGUAGGGUGCGAGCGUUGUCCGGAAUUACUGGGCGUAAAGAGCUUGUAGGUGGUUUGUCGCGUUGUUCGUGAAAUCUCACGGCUUAACUGUGAGCGUGCGGGCGAUACGGGCAGACUAGAGUACUGCAGGGGAGACUGGAAUUCCUGGUGUAGCGGUGAAAUGCGCAGAUAUCAGGAGGAACACCGGUGGCGAAGGCGGGUCUCUGGGCCGUAACUGACGCUGAGGAGCGAAAGCGUGGGGAGCGAACAGG